rnacentral:rRNA from 1 species
GGGGGGGGCGGGGGGGGGGGGGGGGGCGGGCGGGGUGGGCGGGGGGGGGGGGGACGGGUACCGACGGGAUGAGCAGCGGACGGGUGAGUAACGCGUGGGGAAUCUGCCUUUGAGCGGGGGACAACAUUGGGAAACGAAUGCUAAUACCGCAUAAAACCUUUAAACACAAGUUUUAAGUUUGAAAGAUGCAAUUGCAUCACUCAAAGAUGAUCCCGCGUUGUAUUAGCUAGUUGGUGAGGUAAAGGCUCACCAAGGCGAUGAUACAUAGCCGACCUGAGGGGGUGAUCGGCCACAUUGGGACUGAGACACGGCCCAAACUCCUACGGGAGGCAGCAGUAGGGAAUCUUCGGCAAUGGACGAAAGUCUGACCGAGCAACGCCGCGUGAGUGAAGAAGGUUUUCGGAUCGUAAAACUCUGUUGGUAGAGAAGAACGUUGGUGAGAGUGGAAAGCUCAUCAAGUGACGGUAACUACCCAGAAAGGGACGGCUAACUACGUG